rnacentral:lncRNA from 1 species
GCUGGUUCUUCCAGGAGCGCGCAUGAGCGGACGCUGCCUACUGGUGGCCGGGCGGGAUGUAACCGGCUGCUGAGCUGGCAGUUCUGUGUCGCUAGGCUUCUGCCCGGCCGCCGCCGCACAUAAGCCACGAGGAGGAGCUUUACGACUUCCCGGUCUUCGGCGCCGGGCGCAGCAAGGGCCAGACUCUGCGCUAGCAGGCGCUGCGCGCCAACCGGCCGGCACCUGUCGCAGAAGGUGCAACCGAUCGCACUGUCGCGCAGAAGCUCCUCAAUGGCCAGCGCCAGCUGCAGCCCCGGCCGCCCACUCGCCUCAUCUGAGCCUGGGCAAAUCUGGAUUGGGAAAGUUGACAUUAAUCAACUCAUUAUUCCUCACAGAUUUGUAUUCUCCAGAGUAUCCAGGUCCUUCUCAGAGAAUUAAAAAGCCUGUACAGGUCUAGAUAUUGGUAUUUUUAAUUGAUGAUAAGCUGGAAUAAUAUUAAUACACACAAAGCACGUGUUGUAACUUUCAUUAUGCUUCCUUAGAGCUCUGUUCACGGAAAGGGCCUGGGAGCUGCAACACCUCAACAGCAACAAGCACACCUGCUACCUAGAACUUGGUUUCUAAAAACCAUCCUCCUCUAAAAGGAAACAGAGCUCUUUGAAGAAACGAAGGUAAGCAUGAGCAAAUUACUUUUUAGAGGUAACUUUGCUGAACUUGUGAAGAAUGGUGUGCAAGGUCCAGAGCGACUGCAGGAGAGGGAAGGUGGGAUUCCCACAGAGCAGGAGCACAGAUAAGCCAAGCAAGGCCCUGCUUGGAAGGCAGCAAUCAACAGAGAUGCACAGACCUGUGAGGGUGCCGGGACAGCCAUGCAACAAUGCAGCCCUUUUGCUUCCUGAGCUCACCAGUUCCCUCGCUCCACCUCUGAGAGGUGGUUUGGAGAAACACAGCCCUUCUCAAGAGGGCUGCAAGCUACUUAAGUCCUGAAAAUUUCCACAAGGCUGAGUCAAAUCUGCGUUUCAUCAUCUAUAAGAAAGGUACCUAUCGAGAACACCCUGCUGGCCAGUGUGUAAAUAUCUAAAGGAGGACUCAGAAAACACCGGGGAAGUCCAGCCUGCACGUGGUGGCUGGGCUUCAGUGAAGCAUGCAGCACAACAGGAGUUAGCAGACCACAAAGAGCAUGUCUGGACCUAGAACCACAGCAUGUAACCUCGGAAGCAGUGAGACACCAGCCAGCAUGGACAAGCAGCAGGCACUUGCU